AUUCCAUCACCGCCACUAGCUUUGCUCAUAGUGAUGCUUCCUAAGGCACACUUGACUUCACAUUCCAGGAUGUCUGGCUCUAGGUGAGUGAUCACACCAUCUUGGUUAUCUGGGGUCAUGAAUACCUUUUUUGUAUAUUUCUUCUGUAUGUU